rnacentral:rRNA from 1 species
GACGAACGCUGGCGGCGUGCUUAACACAUGCAAGUCGAACGGAAAGGCCCUGCUUUUUUGGGGUGCUCGAGUGGCGAACGGGUGAGUAACACGUGAGUAACCUGCCCUUGACUUUGGUAUAACUUCAGGAAACUGGGGCUAAUACCGGAUAGGAGCUCCUGCUGCAUUGUGGGGGUUGGAACGUUUCGGCGGUAGGGGAUGGACUCGCGGCUUAUCAGCUUGUUGGUGGGGUAGUGGCUUACCAAGGCUUUGACGGGUAGCCGGCCUGAGAGGGUGACCGGCGACAAGGGGACUGAGAUACGGACCAGACUGCAACGGGAGGCAGUAGGGGGGAAUAUUGCACAAUGGGCGGAAGUCUGAUGCAGCAACGCCGCGUGCGGGAUGACGGCCUUCGGGUUGUAAAACGCUUUCGCCUGUGACGAAGCGGGAGUGACGGUAAUGGGUAAAGAAGCACCGGCUAACUACGUG